AGGAUGAAAAACCAAUGAUAUCAUACUUAUUAAUACAACAAUGGAGGAAGAUAUGUCACGUGUUUCUUUCCCCUCCUUCGUGCAUCUUGGCGUGUAUCAAACGAGAGUUAGAAAGAUUCGAUUUGAAUUGUACAAGUCUUCACAAAGAUAAUACCGGCGAAAGAAUUCAAAGAAGACGACGAUUUUUGAAAAGAACCGACGAGAAAGGAGGAGAGAGGAGGAGGUUGCAGAGAAGAAAUUGUGUAACGUCGAUUCUUUACGCCCUUUUCGAUCUCCACGACGUCGUCUCAGCUUCAAAAAUUGGACGAAAAUGUGGACGCGAUUCAGCUACUCUCACUCUGUUGUUACAGAUGAAGAUCAAAAUAGAAGAUCGGGUUUGAAAGAGCAAAACGUCAGACAACAGUUGGCCCCGUGUAAAUGAUAAAGUAUCGGUGAUAACAAGGUUACAAUUUCGUAUGUCAUUCGUCAGAACUCUGGCAGAUGAAGAUACGCUUACGUUGACAAUGUUAGAUCAUUCGCAUUCUUCUCAAAUUAAUGAUUGUGUGACCGAGACGAUUAUAUUGACUGAGAAGUGAUUAGACAACUGUGCGCGAUCAGUCGAUGAUCCUGGUUGCGACUGAUAUGUAAAAGGAUUGCAUAAUGUGUGAAACGAUGCGUUUACACCGGUUGCACAGCCGACUCGGUACAGUGAUCCCUCAGCGACAAUAAACAAAUGGCGACGACGGAAGUGCAGAAACGCCGCGUCGUCGGCUGUUUGUUUGAUUUUCAGGUCGACUUUCUUUCUGGCGGCGUCCGCGACGUCGACGGCCGCCGUUGACGACCCGUGUGUACCGUGUAUACAUCAGUUCCAGAACGCGGUUCCUCUAACCGUGAGAGAGGACCACCCUGAUCGUCGUCGUCGCGACUACCAUAACAACACGCUACUUAUUGUCUUCCCGAACCAAUAUUGCGAAAGUAACGAUUCCACUUUCAUUUGCAUAUUGUAAAAAAAAAUUGUAAUCUCUCGUCGAUUGAACUGAUUUUUCAUAUCUAUCUCUCUCUCUCUCUCUCUCUCUCUCUCUCUUUUUGUUCGUGCAGGUUCGUCAAGAAAGAAAGAAAACAUGGUCUAAAGACGUUGCGAACGUUGAAGCAUCAUCUGUACAGAAUGAUUGAAUGUACAUAGAAAUGGAACGUGGAAGACCUUUAAAAUUUUGUGGGGAAAACCAGCAAUAAAUCCACUUAACUACCUGUGUGCCCAUGGUCAAUUUUAGAGAAUUCUUCCAGUAUUACGAAAACUUUGUAUUGUUUUAUUAGCCUCUGUAAUCCAAAAGUACGGUCAAGACGUAUUUUCCCAGUACCAGCUGGUCAUUAUAUUCGGCACCUUCCUUCGCAACAAAUUCGAUUAGAAUCGAACGUUAGAUCAUUGAAGGAUUCAAGAUUCGAUGGAUAGACAGUCCAUUGAAUUGUUAUUUUGUGUAUAUAUUUUAUUCUGGCUCGUUAACAAUUCUUGGAAUAUUAAUAUAGGAAAUUUUAUACGGUAGUGAUUAACUUUAGAGAGUAUUAAUA